ACCUGAAGCAGAGACCCUGUUCCGUACUGCUUAAUUAACACGUGAUCUACCCUACAGUGCUCUUUUUGCUGAGCUCUUUUUUUCUUUUCUUUUAUUUAUUUUUUUUUCUUUCUUUCUUUACUUACUUGUUUUAGAGAUGGGGUCUUGCACUGUUACGCAGGCUGGAGCACAGUGGCAAGUUGGAAUGUUAUUUCUUGAAUAGUCCUUAUCCGAAAUGCUUGGGACUAGAAGAUAAUAAUACCACGUCUUUUUCUUUUUUUAGAGACAGGGUCUCGCUAUGCUGCCUAGGCUGGUCUCAAACUCCUGGGCUCAAACAAUCCUCCUGCCUCGGCCUCCCAAAGUGCUAGAAUUGCAGGCAUGAGCCACCACACCUGGCCUCACAAGUCUUUAUUGUGAGUUGCUCCUUUAGAAUUGUAAAGUCCC
rnacentral:lncRNA from 10 species